rnacentral:lncRNA from 1 species
CUUUUAUAAGGUGAAACUCACUGUGUGUAGGAUUCCACAUUCAGAUAUCUUCCAUGCUAAAGGCUGCUCAUGUUCCUGAAAAAAAAGACCUCAAUGAUUAAUGGUGUUCAAAGGCCUGUUUGUGCUGAAUUCUGCAUAAAUAUAGAGGGAACUCCCAGUUCUGGAACUGCAGAGGCUGAAAAUGGAAGAAAACACAUUCCUUGGGAGCUCUUCUCCAAAGCUGCCAUGGGAGUCCUUUGCUCUGCACUGCUGCUUUGAGCACAGCAAAUCCAUUUCUGCCUAAGGAGCCCCUGAGGGAUGGGGUGGCUGUCACUAUACAGCCCUUCUGCCAGCCCUGUAACUCUGGCAGUCUGCUAGGACAGUCCCCACAGCCUGAAUCCUAAAAUCACAGAUCACCUACUUCAAGAACAUCUACUGAGGAUGUCAUCCUCAGCCUUUCCUGGCCAAAGUUUGCCUGAGCACUGCUUCUGAAUUUUGGAAAAGUAAAGUCCAAAUUUUAGUUGGGACUCCAAGACUCAUCCCUCUGUAAAAUCAGGAAAUCUUUUUCUAAUAUUUACCCUAGACAAUUUUUUCAGAAAUUUUUUUCUUGCCCUGUUUUCAGUGGGCAUAGGGAAUGUUUGGAUUGCCCCUGUCUGCAGAGAAAUCUUCAUUAUGGAAGGCAUUUUUUCUACCUUCUCUUCUCCCUUCUCUUUUUCUUAGACCAAACAUUCUGCAUUCUUCCAUCAUUUUUCCAAACAGUUCCUGAAAAUGGCCACAUGACACUGAACUGCGAGACAAAUGCUUUGUGUUUCCAGUUAUGGAUGAGCAAAGUGAGAAAUUGAAAUACAAAGAAUUUCAUCAAAAAGAAAUCCAAAGACAUGAAGCAAUUUCCUAGAAUUCCAUAGAGAAACAUUUCUCAGAAGAGGUGACUCAGUGAAGAAGAUCCCCCAUGGUGGUGGGAGAAGAGCCACCUGCAUGGGACCUGCUCCUGAAGCAGAUGUUGAGCACUGCAUGCUGCACCUCUCAGCCGUGGAAGGAUGCUACUUUUGGACAAAACCAGGAUUUGGUUAGAUAUGUACAGAAUAAUUCCAGAAUAUUUUAGAGAACUGGGGUGUUACUUCUGUGCUUCAGUAAACAGUUACUGAUGUGUUACUCCAUAAUUGAUCAUUAUGUCAGUUUGCACAGUGCUAAAUGCAGAUAAUUAAUGUCACAUAUUGGCUGAUUCAUAACACUUACAGAGAUACAAUAUGGAAAUGACAUUGGUACAGUAAAUUCUGCUAGGGUGUGUGAAGUUGUCUGCCCACACAUGAUUAAUAAAUGUGCUAACACUUUACA